rnacentral:ncRNA from 1 species
CUUAUCGAGAGUGGUGGAGGGACUGGCCCUGUGAAGCCCGGCAACCAAUAUUUUUAUAUAUGGUGCUAAAUCCUGCAGUUUUUAACUGGUAGAUAAG